UUGUACAGAAGUGCGUCCACUUCCGAUGAAGUGGCAGAUGCCUUACCGACGCCGUUUCUCCAUACAUUUAUGACAAUCCGUUUUGUGCGAUACGUAAUAUAUCGAUAGGUGGACGCCCAAGUAGCAAAAAUAUGUGCAAUAAAGGUAACGGCCACGUUCCUGUUUUGCUAAUAUGUGCUGUAAAAGUCCCGUAAUUAGUCGAAUAAUGGUCACGGCAGCGCUGUCUCGACGCGAAAAGGGCACAAAUUAUACAGCAAUUCAGUGCUAUGAAAGUCGAGUGAUUGUAACCAAGAAGCUUAUAUAGUAGAUUAAAAGUCGAGUAAAAGUAAACUGUACCCAAUUUAGGGUUGUCAUAGCAAUUUUGUUGCAGCUUCUACACUAAGGGUGCAGUAACAGCGAUGUGGUGCUCAUUAAUCGACUAAUAAGUAGAAUAAUAGCUGUCGAGUUGCUACAACUCUUCAUUUUUGUGGGAUAAAUGCAACAAAAUUACUUUUUCCCCACUAUUUAGCUGAAUUUUAGUCACACUGUUGCAGAAAAAUAUAUGGAAGAAAAUCUGUGGAUUAUUGUGACUGAUCUAUCGUAAUGACUGAUUACAAAAGCAUAAAGAAUGGUUUUCAAGAUUGUGCAGACAAUUGAGAAGGGAGGAUAUGUUUUAUGGACCGAGACACCAGGCCCACGAUUUCUUCAGUUGUUUUCUGUGGAACAACGGAACCACUUGACGUUUCGGCCAUCGCACUUGACGAAUUUUGAGACAAAUACUUUGUUGGAACCUUAGUUUGAAUUUUUCCGUAUCUUUGUUUUAAUUUUCUUUUUUAAUUUCCAUGACUUGUAAUCCAUUUUAUCACGUAAUAAAAAAAUGAAUGUGCAA